GUGUCAGCCGCCGCGGUAAUACGAAGGGUGCAAGCGUUAUCCGGAUUCAUUGGGUUUAAAGGGUGCGUAGGCGGGAUGAUAAGUCAGUGGUGAAAUCUUGCGGCUCAACCGUAAAAUUGCCAUUGAUACUGUCAUUCUUGAGUAGGCUCGACGUGGGCGGAAUGUGCCGUGUAGCGGUGAAAUGCUUAGAUAUGGCACAGAACACCGAUAGUGAAGACAGCUCACGAGGGCCAAACUGACGCUGAGGCACGAAAGCGUGGGGAUCGAACAGGAUUAGAUACCCCGGUAGUCC
rnacentral:rRNA from 1 species